rnacentral:rRNA from 1 species
UACGAAGGGGGCUAGCGUUGCUCGGAAUCACUGGGCGUAAAGGGUGCGUAGGCGGGUCUUUAAGUCAGGGGUGAAAUCCUGGAGCUCAACUCCAGAACUGCCUUUGAUACUGAAGAUCUUGAGUUCGGGAGAGGUGAGUGGAACUGCGAGUGUAGAGGUGAAAUUCGUAGAUAUUCGCAAGAACACCAGUGGCGAAGGCGGCUCACUGGCCCGAUACUGACGCUGAGGCACGAAAGCGUGGGGAAGCAAACAGGGAUUAAGAAACCC